GACGAACGCUGGCGGCGUGCCUAAUACAUGCAAGUCGAGCGGACUGAUUAGGAGCUUGCUCUUAUGACGUUAGCGGCGGACGGGUGAGUAACACGUGGGCAACCUGCCCUGUAGAUCGGGAUAACAUCGAGAAAUCGGUGCUAAUACCGGGUAAUAUCUUAAAUCACAUGAUCUUAGGUUAAAAGAUGGCUCUGGCUAUCACUACAGGAUGGGCCCGCGGUGCUUUAGCUAGUGGGGAAGGAAAAGGCUUCCCAAGGGGACGAGGCGUAGCCGCCCUGAGAGGGGGGUGGGGCACACUGGGGAUGGGAAACGGCCCAGAACCCUCCGGGAGGGAGAACUAGGGAAUCUUUCGCAAAGGACGAAAGUGUGACGGGGAAACGCCGCGUGAGUGAUGAAAGGUUGCGGCGCGUAAAGAUCUGUUGUUAGGGGAGAAACAGUAGUGAACGAACUAGGUCGGUACCUUGACGGUACCUAACCAGAAAGCCACGGCUAACUACGUG
rnacentral:rRNA from 1 species